rnacentral:lncRNA from 1 species
AGACAAACAGUAAACUUGGCUUUCCCAUGUAAUUUGCUGGAAGUCCGAUUUGUUGGCUCUCCUAAGUGAAGAACCGAUGCUGCAGAGAUGUGAGUUGCUUCUGGUAAUGAUUUGACUCCCAAUAUUGCCAAAUACAUCUGAACUACUAAAAACUAUCGAGAAAACRGGCAGCCGCAGUCUCAGAGAGGCGGAAGAGGAGCAGCCGGGAGAACCGCCAAGUCUCUCGCC